GAAAAUAACAAUGAUUUCCCUAGUAACGGCGAGUGAACAGGAAAGAGCUCAAAGUUGGAACCCGUUUGGUUUAGCCAAACCGGAUUGUAAACUGUAGAAGUGUUUUCCUGACACGCCUGAUGAAAAAGUCCAUUGGAACAUGGUGACAUAGAGGGUGAGAGCCCCGUAUUUCGUCAGAGCUGUUGUCUUUUGUGAUACACUUUCAAAGAGUCAGGUUGUUUGGGAAUGCAGCCUAAAUUGGGUGGUAAAUCUCACCUAAAGCUAAAUAUUGGCAAAAGACCGAUAGCGAACAAGUACCGUGAGGGAAAGAUGAAAAGAACUUUGAAAAGAGAGUUAAACAGUAUGUGAAAUUGUUAAAAGGGAACCGUUUGGAGCCAGACUGGCUUGAUUGUAAUCAAUCUAGAUUUCGAUCUGGAUGCACUUGCAGUCUAUGCCUGCCAACGACAAUUCAUUCUGGAGGAAAAAACUAGGAGGAAUGUGGCCCCUCGGGGUGUUAUAGCUUCUUAUAAAAUACUCUGGGUUGGAUUGAGGAACGCAGUGGAUGCUAUUUGGCGAAGUUGCUGAGUGCUUUUUUAGUUACGUGAUAGAAUUUCUGCUUCGGGUGGUGCUAGCAUUUACUGGUAAAACUCGCUUGGUAAUCUUUUUAUCCGCUUAGGUUGUUGGCUUAAUGACUCUAAAUGACCCGUC
rnacentral:rRNA from 1 species